UACGAAGGGGGCUAGCGUUGUUCGGAAUUACUGGGCGUAAAGCGCACGUAGGCGGAUCGAUCAGUCAGGGGUGAAAUCCCAGAGCUCAACUCUGGAACUGCCUUUGAUACUGUCGAUCUGGAGUAUGGAAGAGGUGAGUGGAAUUCCGAGUGUAGAGGUGAAAUGCGUAGAUAUCGGGAAGAACACCAGUGGCGAAAGCGCUCUACUGGGCCAUAACUGACGCUGAGGGACGAAAGCGUGGGGAGCGAAAAGG
rnacentral:rRNA from 1 species